CAGCAUCUAUAUUUUUUUUUUAUGAAUUUCUUCUUCUCAUUCACUUAUGCUUUCUUCUUUGUUUGUUUUUUCUAGGUCCGAUAGGUUUCAAAAUGGGAGACCUUACUUUCUUUUUUCUAUGGUGGUGAAUGCAUGAGCGGUUGAAGAAGAAGGAGAAGUUGCUUGCAGCUGAAUAAGAUAUCUUGUGAUGAGAGAAUAUGCAGAUCCGGUGGUUUUUGAAGCGGGGAGAGGCUACUGUAAAGUAUUGCAAUGUAGCAAACUGAGUAAAUUGCGGUGGUUUUUACAACAACUAUGCAACUGCUCCAUAGAUAUAUUAAGUUGUUUUUUAUGUGAAGUGGGCCAUAAUACGGGUCAACACACUAGUAUACAUUUAAUUGAGAUUUGAAUUGUGGUUCACCAUAUUUAAUAUAGGCAAAACAUUUGAUCUUAUAACUAA